CAAUAGCGUAUAUUAAAGUUGUUGCAGUUAAAAAGCUCGUAGUUGGAUUUGUGGCGUACGGUGUGUUCCGGGCACUUGUUGUCUGAGUAACCUGCUGUUGCCAUCCUUGGGUGGAACCUGUGUGGCAUUAGGUUGUCGUGCAGGGGAUGCCCAUCAUUUACUGUGAAAAAAUUAGAGUGUUCAAAGCAGGCUUAUGCCGUUGAAUAUAUUAGCAUGGAAUAAUGAGAUAGGACUUUUUUGCUAUUUUGUUGGUUUGCGCAAAGAGGUAAUAAUUAAUAGGGACAGUUGGGGGUAUUCGUAUUCCAUUGUCAGAGGUGAAAUUCUUGGAUUUUUGGAAGACGAACUACUGCGAAAGCAUUUACCAAGGAUGUUUUCAUUAA
rnacentral:rRNA from 1 species